CCUUGACAUACUAAGAACUUUUCCAGAGAUGGAUUGGUGCCUUUCGGGAACUUUAGAUACAGGUGCUGCAUGGCUGUCGUCAGCUCGUGUCGUGAGAUGUUGGGUUAAGUCCCGNAACGAGCGCAACCCUUUUUCCUUAUUUUGCCAGCGGGUCAUGCCGGGAACUUUAAGGAUACUGCCAGUGACAAACUGGAGGAAGGCGGGGACGACGUCAAGUCAUCAUGGCCCUUACGGCCAGGGCUACACACGUGCUACAAUGGUCGGUACAAAGGGUUGCUACCUCGCGAGAGGAUGCUAAUCUCAAAAAGCCGAUCGUAGUCCGGAUCGCAGUCUGCAACUCGACUGCGUGAAGUCGGAAUCGCUAGUAAUCGCGGAUCAGAAUGCCGCGGUGAAUACGUUCCCGGGCCUUGUACACACCGCCCGUCACACCAUGGGAGUUUGUUGCACCAGAAGUAGGUAGUCUAACCGCAAGGAGGACGCUUACCACGGUGUGGCCGAUGACUGGGGUGAAGUCGUAACAAGGUAGGCGUAGAUGA
rnacentral:rRNA from 1 species